UUAUUCUGGUUGUUCUUUUCAUUCCAGUUACUCUCUUUUCCGGUUGUUCUCUUUAUUUUCGUUGUUCUCUUUUAUUCCGGUUGUUCUUUUCCUUCCAGUUGUUCUCUUUUCGGGUUGUUCAUUUCAUUCCGGUUGUUCUCUUUUCCGGUUGUUCUCUUUUCUGGUUGUUCUCCUUUCCG
rnacentral:lncRNA from 1 species